UCCAAGACUACUUUUAUGUUUCAACUGAGAGAGACACAGAAAAAGAGAGAGGCCAUGUAGUCUAUCCUACCUGUGUCCCAAAUUUGGGUCCACUUAGCAGCACUGCUGCUGUACUCUUAUCAUCUAUUUUCCUAUAAAACUUUGUUUUUCAAGUCUUUUUGGUUUGGUAGGUAGAUGCAGUUCUCCAACUUGUAUACAACUUGCUCAUGUCCACCCAGCUCAGUUAAUGCAACUUCUUAAAUAUAAGGGCAUGGCUUGGAUAUUUUGAGAUAUUUGAAUAUCUAAGAAAUGGUAAAGUAGAAUAUUCGAGUCCAGAUAUUUCACACAAGCCACUCAGUAAAGGUUUAUUCCAUGCUAUUUCCCAAUUGCAAGAUGCCCAGGGUUAUCCUUACGAAAUGCCUAGGCCUCUGACUCUCCAUCUGACCAUGUUUGAUUUAGCUCAGAUGGGAACCUUCUUUCCUGUCAAAGUCUUCCACUAGAGACCACAAUCUCUCUCUCUCUCUCUCUCUCUCUCUCUCUC
rnacentral:lncRNA from 1 species